rnacentral:rRNA from 1 species
UACGAGGGGGGCUAGCGUUGUUCGGAAUUACUGGGCGUAAAGGGUGCGUAGGUUGUUUGGUAAGUUAGGUGUGAAAUCCUCGAUUUCAAGUUGAGAACUGCACUUAAAACUGCCAAACUAGAGAGUAGUAGAGGAUAGUGGAAUUCCAAGUGUAGGGGUAAAAUCCGUAGAUAUUCGGAGGAACACCAGUGGCGAAGGCGGCUCACUGGCUCGACACUGACGCUGAGGUGCGAAAGCGUGGGGAGCGAACAGG